UUCGCAAUGCCCGAAAGGGUGACGAAGCGACGCCGCGUGUGGGAAGAAGGCCUUCGGGUUGUAAACCACUGUCGGGAGUUAAGAAAUGCAAGGAUAUUAAUAGUGUCUUUGUUUGACUAAGGCUCCGGAGGAAGCCACGGCUAACUCUGUGCCAGCAGCCGCGGUAAUACAGAGGCGGCAAGCGUUGUUCGGAAUUAUUGGGCGUAAAGAGCACGUAGGCGGCUAUGUAAGUCGGUUGUGAGAGCCUUCCGCUCAACGGAAGAACAGCAUCCGAUACUACAUGGCUUGAGUGCGGGAGGGGAGAGUGGAACUUCUGGUGGAGCGGUGAAAUGCGUAGAUAUCAGAAGGAACGCCGGCGGCGAAAGCGGCUCUCUGGCCCAUAACUGACGCUGAGUGUGCGAAAGCUAGGGGAGCAAACGGGAUUAGAUACCCCGGUAGUCCUAGCCGUAAACGAUGGGCACUAAGUAGAGGGGUUUU
rnacentral:rRNA from 1 species